GAUGAAGAACGCAGCGAAAUGCGAUAAGUAAUGUGAAUUGCAGAAUUCAGUGAAUCAUCGAAUCUUUGAACGCACAUUGCGCCCGCCAGUAUUCUGGCGGGCAUGCCUGUUCGAGCGUCAUUACAACCCUCAGGCCCCCGGGCCUGGCGUUGGGGAUCGGCGGAAGCCCCCUGCGGGCACAACGCCGUCCCCCAAAUACAGUGGCGGUCCCGCCGCAGCUUCCAUUGCGUAGUAGCUAACACCUCGCAACUGGANNNNNGCGCGGCCACGCCGUAAAACACCCAACUUCUGAAUGUUGACCUCGAAUCAGGUAGGAAUACCCGCUGAACUUAAGCAUAUCAAUAAGCGGAGGA
rnacentral:misc_RNA from 1 species